rnacentral:rRNA from 1 species
GAUGAACGCUGGCGGCGUGCCUAAUACACGCAAGUCGAGCGAACAGACGAGGAGCUUGCUCCUCUGACGUUAGCGGCUGACGGGUGAGUAACACGUGGAUAACCUACCUAUAAGACUGGGAUAACUUCGGGAAACCGGAGCUAAUACCGGAUAAUAUAUUGAACCGCAUGGUUCAAUAGUGAAAGACGGUUUUGCUGUCACUUAUAGAUGGAUCCGCGCCGCAUUAGCUAGUUGGUAAGGUAACGGCUUACCAAGGCAACGAUGCGUAGCCGACCUGAGAGGGUGAUCGGCCACACUGGAACUGAGACACGGUCCAGACUCCUACGGGAGGCAGCAGUAGGGAAUCUUCCGCAAUGGGCGAAAGCUUGACGGAGCAACGCCGCGUGAGUGAUGAAGGUCUUCGGAUCGUAAAACUCUGUUAUUAGGGAAGAACAAAUGUGUAAGUAACUAUGCACGUCUUGACGGUACCUAAUCAGAAAGCCACGGCUAACUACGUG